UGAGGGAAAGGUGAAAAGCACCCCGGAAGGGGAGUGAAAUAGAACCUGAAACCGUGUGCUUACAAGUAGUCAGAGCCCGUUAAUGGGUGAUGGCGUGCCUUUUGUAGAAUGAACCGGCGAGUUACGAUUUGAUGCAAGGUUAAGCAGUAAAUGUGGAGCCGUAGCGAAAGCGAGUCUGAAUAGGGCGUUUAGUAUUUGGUCGUAGACCCGAAACCAGGUGAUCUACCCUUGGUCAGGUUGAAGUUCAGGUAACACUGAAUGGAGGACCGAACCGACUUACGUUGAAAAGUGAGCGGAUGAACUGAGGGUAGCGGAGAAAUUCCAAUCGAACCUGGAGAUAGCUGGUUCUCUCCGAAAUAGCUUUAGGGCUAGCCUCAAGUGAUGAUUAUUGGAGGUAGAGCACUGUUUGGACGAGGGGCCCCUCUCGGGUUACCGAAUUCAGACAAACUCCGAAUGCCAAUUAAUUUAACUUGGGAGUCAGAACAUGGGUGAUAAGGUCCGUGUUCGAAAGGGAAACAGCCCAGACCACCAGCUAAGGUCCCAAAAUAUAUGUUAAGUGGAAAAGGAUGUGGCGUUGCCCAGACAACUAGGAUGUUGGCUUAGAAGCAGCCAUCAUUUAAAGAGUGCGUAAUAGCUCACUAGUCGAGUGACACUGCGCCGAAAAUGUACCGGGGCUAAACAUAUUACCGAAGCUGUGGAUUGUCCUUUGGACAAUGGUAGGAGAGCGUUCUAAGGGCGUUGAAGCAUGAUCGUAAGGACAUGUGGAGCGCUUAGAAGUGAGAAUGCCGGUGUGAGUAGCGAAAGACGGGUGAGAAUCCCGUCCACCGAUUGACUAAGGUUUCCAGAGGAAGGCUCGUCCGCUCUGGGUUAGUCGGGUCCUAAGCUGAGGCCGACAGGCGUAGGCGAUGGAUAACAGGUUGAUAUUCCUGUACCACCUAUAAUCGUUUUAAUCGAUGGGGGGACGCAGUAGGAUAGGCGAAGCGUGCGAUUGGAUUGCACGUCUAAGCAGUAAGGCUGAGUAUUAGGCAAAUCCGGUACUCGUUAAGGCUGAGCUGUGAUGGGGAGAAGACAUUGAGUCUUCGAGUCGUUGAUUUCACACUGCCGAGAAAAGCCUCUAGAUAGAAAAUAGGUGCCCGUACCGCAAACCGACACAGGUAGUCAAGAUGAGAAUUCUAAGGUGAGCGAGCGAACUCUCGUUAAGGAACUCGGCAAAAUGACCCCGUAACUUCGGGAGAAGGGGUGCUCUUUAGGGUUAACGCCCAGAAGAGCCGCAGUGAAUAGGCCCAAGCGACUGUUUAUCAAAAACACAGGUCUCUGCUAAACCGUAAGGUGAUGUAUAGGGGCUGACGCCUGCCCGGUGCUGGAAGGUUAAGAGGAGUGGUUAGCUUCUGCGAAGCUACGAAUCGAAGCCCCAGUAAACGGCGGCCGUAACUAUAACGGUCCUAAGGUAGCGAAAUUCCUUGUCGGGUAAGUUCCGACCCGCACGAAAGGCGUAACGAUUUGGGCACUGUCUCAACGAGAGACUCGGUGAAAUCAUAGUACCUGUGAAGAUGCAGGUUACCCGCGACAGGACGGAAAGACCCCGUGGAGCUUUACUGUAGCCUGAUAUUGAAAUUCGGCACAGCUUGUACAGGAUAGGUAGGAGCCUUUGAAACGUGAGCGCUAGCUUACGUGGAGGCGCUGGUGGGAUACUACCCUAGCUGUGUUGGCUUUCUAACCCGCACCACUUAUCGUGGUGGGAGACAGUGUCAGGCGGGCAGUUUGACUGGGGCGGUCGCCUCCUAAAAGGUAACGGAGGCGCUCAAAGGUUCCCUCAGAAUGGUUGGAAAUCAUUCAUAGAGUGUAAAGGCAUAAGGGAGCUUGACUGCGAGACCUACAAGUCGAGCAGGGUCGAAAGACGGACUUAGUGAUCCGGUGGUUCCGCAUGGAAGGGCCAUCGCUCAACGGAUAAAAGCUACCCCGGGGAUAACAGGCUUAUCUCCCCCAAGAGUUCACAUCGACGGGGAGGUUUGGCACCUCGAUGUCGGCUCAUCGCAUCCUGGGGCUGUAGUCGGUCCCAAGGGUUGGGCUGUUCGCCCAUUAAAGCGGUACGCGAGCUGGGUUCAGAACGUCGUGAGACAGUUCGGUCCCUAUCCGUCGUGGGCGUAGGAAAUUUGAGAGGAGCUGUCCUUAGUACGAGAGGACCGGGAUGGACAUACCUCUGGUGUACCAGUUGUCGUGCCAACGGCAUAGCUGGGUAGCUAUGUGUGGACGGGAUAAGUGCUGAAAGCAUCUAAGCAUGAAGCCCCCCUCAAGAUGAGAUUUCCCAACUUCGGUUAUAAGAUCCCUCAAAGAUGAUGAGGUUAAUAGGUUCGAGGUGGAAGCAUGGUGACAUGUGGAGCUGACGAAUACUAAUCGAUCGAAGACUUAAUCAA
rnacentral:rRNA from 1 species